UAGGGAAUAUUGGACAAUGGGCGAAAGCCUGAUCCAGCAAUGCCGCGUGAGUGAUGAAGGCCUUAGGGUUGUAAAGCUCUUUUACCAGGGAUGAUAAUGACAGUACCUGGAGAAUAAGCUCCGGCUAACUCCGUGCCAGCAGCCGCGGUAAUACGGAGGGAGCUAGCGUUGUUCGGAAUUACUGGGCGUAAAGCGCGCGUAGGCGGCUUUUCAAGUCAGGGGUGAAAUCCCGGGGCUCAACCCCGGAACUGCCCUUGAAACUGGAUGGCUAGAAUACUGGAGAGGUGAGUGGAAUUCCGAGUGUAGAGGUGAAAUUCGUAGAUAUUCGGAAGAACACCAGUGGCGAAGGCGACUCACUGGACAGUUAUUGACGCUGAGGUGCGAAAGCGUGGGGAGCAAACAGGAUUAGAUACCCCCGUAGUCC
rnacentral:rRNA from 1 species